UAAUCAGUAGUCUUUUAAUUGAAGGCUGGUAUGAAUGGUUGGAUGAGAUAUUAACUGUUUCAUUUAAAAUUUUAAUAGAAUUUUAUUUUUUAGUUAAAAAGCUUAAAUUUUGUUAAAAGACGAGAAGACCCUAUAAAUCUUUAUAUUUUAUUUAUAUUAAUUGUUUAGAUGUUUUUGGUUAUUAUAAACUAAAAUAUUUUGUUGGGGUGAUAUUAAAAUUUGAUAAACUUUUAAUUUUUAUUUACAUAAAUUAAUGAAUUAAUGAUCCAUUAUUAAUGAUUAAAAAUUUAAGUUACUUUAGGGAUAACAGCGUAAUUUUUUUGGAGAGUUCAUAUCGAUAAAAAAGAUUGCGACCUCGAUGUUGGAUUAA
rnacentral:rRNA from 1 species